rnacentral:pre_miRNA from 1 species
UUACUACUCGCUCCGUCCCAUAUUAAGUGUCAUAAUAUUACACGUAUCUAGACGCUUUUUAGCUAUAGAUACAUUCAUGUUUGGAAAAAUUUGAGACACUUAAUAUGGGACGGAGGGAGGGAAAA